rnacentral:misc_RNA from 1 species
GGGUAUGGGUGGGGUUGGUAAAACUACCCUUGCACAGCUUAUCUACAAUGACAAUAGGGUGCAAGAUUGGUUUGAUCUCAAAAUAUGGGUUUGUGUUUCUGAAGAAUUCGAUGUGUUUAGGCUAACAAGAGAUAUUUUAAAAGAGACGGGUGAUUUCAGAACUCUAGAUGAGCUUCAAGUUGUGCUUAAGGAGAAAUUGAUGGGCAAAAAAUUUUUGCUUGUUUUGGAUGAUGUAUGGAGUGAAAGCUAUGAUGAUUGGGAUAUCUUACAAAGA